rnacentral:rRNA from 1 species
GACGACCGCUGGCGGCGUGCUUAACACAUGCAAGUCGAACGAAGUGGCGAACGGGUGAGUAACGCGUAAUCAACCUGCCCUUCAGAGGGGGACAACAGUUGGAAACGACUGCUAAUACCGCAUACUGAAGGAGGGGAUUGCAUCUGUUUAGAUAGUUGGAGGGGUAACGGCCCACCAAGGCGAUGAUCAGUAGCCGUUCUGAGAGAAUGAACUGCCAAAUUUGGACUGAGACCAAGCCCAGACUCCUACGGGAGGCAGCGGAGGGUAAUCUUCCGCAAUGGAAGAAAGUCUGACGGAGCAACGCGGCGUGAGUGAUGACGGCCUUCGGGUUGUAAAGCUCUGUUAGUCGGGACGCGGUACCGGAAUAGAAAGCCACGGCUAACUACGUGCCAGCAGCCGCGGUAAUUC